AACAUUUUUUGUGACUGAGGGCACCUGACAGGUGCGCGUUGUUGUGCUCUCGAAGGCAAGGGUUCUCUUGUUCCGAAGUCCUUGUGGCCGUUGUUGGCAGGUGGAGACAUUUGUGUCAACAAAAGCCAUGGUGCAGUCGAGCUUCACCCGACACUUGGGGUGAUCAUUGCGAUGAGCAACCAUUCAACCAAGAUCAAGUCACCGACGUCUGGCAUGCGUAGAGGGACGUGUGGAGAAUUCCCACACGAACCCACAAAAAUUUUUAUUUUUAUAUUGACACCCGGCGAUCGAUCUAGUGGGGUUCCUGUCCGUCCCGACUGGCAGCUGCUGGGUCGAAGCAUCUCAACCACCAAGUAUUGGGCGUUCUUGUUUUUCCCCUUUUAAUGGAGCAUGAUUGGUGGCUACUUCUGCCGUUGAGACGAAGCUUGCGGGAACUAAGUUUCUGACAUGUCCCAAUUUGAACGGCCUAUUUGGAAGGCAGUCUGGUACAGCCGCUGGAUAUUUCUAUUCUGCUGCCAACAAGAAUCGGGCAGUUACGUGGGAGGGGUCAACCUUGUAUGAUUAUUUGCUCAAUCCAAAGAAGAGAUCAUUGCUAAAUCAGGCAUAACAGAUGAUAAGGUCACAGAAACUCCUGAAGUAGUAGGAAGCAAGAUGAAGAUUGAUGAUGGAGUUCCACUUGUCAAUCCCACUCCUUACCGACAACUUGUGGGAUCCUUGAUGUACCUUAGCAUCACUCGACCUGACAUUGCUCAUGCAUUUCAUACUGGGAAUCACUCAUCUCAUGGAAGUGCAAAAAGCAACAGAAAGUCUCACUAUCCUCUACUGAAGCUGAAUAUCGAGCCAUGACUUCUACAACUAUGGAAAUUGUCUGGCUUCGCCAAAUGCUUCUUGAUAUGGGAACAAAGAUAAAAGAACCCACUGAUUUAUGCUGCGACAACAAGAGUUCUAUCUACAUUGCCAAGAAUCAAACAUUCCAUGAACGAACAAAGCAUAUAGAAAUGGACUGCCACUAUGUUCGUGAAGAAUUUUUGAAGAAGACUAUCAAGCUUCCAUAUGUCUCCUCCGAGUUCCAGUUGGCUGAUUUCUUCACAAAGCCUCUAUGUUCUCCCAGAUUCAACUUUUUUUUAGAUAAACUUUUGGUGAUAGCACCGUAAGUUUAAGGGGGGGUGUUAAGAAAUAUGAUUUCUUAUUGUUGUUAUCUCUUAAUUAGGUAUUAUCUUUUAUUGUUGUUAUCUCUUAAUUAGGUAUUAUCUUAGUUAAGAGUUAGUUUAGGAUUAGUUAGGAAUUAGUUUAGGAUUUAGUUUAUUUCUUUCUUUUCUCUUUAUUUUUUAUUUUUUAUUUUUAUUUUUUUAUUAUUUCUGCCAAACUAGCCGUUGGCAGUUCCAACAGCUCUAUUAAGAGCCGUUGGAACUAGCCCAACGGCUAGUUCAGCUCAUCUCUUCUUAUUCUCUCUUAUAAAUAUCCUUGUAACAGUCUUUGUAAAUAAUGAGUUGUGUUUUACAGCCUUCAUAUUGUUUAUUGAAUGAGUAUUACUCUUCUUCACUUGGCCUUAGUGCCUUUUUAAUAUUAUAUGCAUUCUUUGUGACUGUUAUAGUCACUUUUCACGGUGGAUAACAUUGCAUAAUUUUUGUAGUUUACAGAGCCUAUUUGGGAGAUGCUGAGAGAAGUUGAUAAAGAAAGACCCAUGCUUCAUAAAGUUUAUGAUAUGUGGGAUAACAUGAUUGAAAAAAUUCAAAACAUCACUUUUAUACAUGAGAAUAAGAAUGUUGCACUUGAUGAUUCUGAGUUUUUCGAUCAUAUGCAUAAAAUUUUAGUAAGAAGAUGAAAUAGAAGCAAUAACCCUUUGCAUUGUAUGAUACACAUGGUUGGCAGGAGGUACCUCUUGGUUGUGUUCCUCCUAAUUGAAAUCCAGAAAUGUCAAACAAUAGGGAGAUAUGUUUGGGAAGACUAUUUUCUGAUUCUCAUCAGUUGAAGAUAGUAAAUAAUGAGUUAGCGAGUUUCUCUGGUGGAAGAAGUGAUUCAUUGCAAGUUGCAAUGGCAAGAGAUGAAGAUCCUGUUAAUUGGUGGUUAUGUUUUGGAGCGUGGACACCAAAUCUUCAAUAGCUUGUGUUGAAGUAAUUAUCUUUACUUGCAACCUCUUCAUGUUGUGAAAGAAACUGGAGCACUUAUUUUCAAAUUCACAACAUCAAGAGAAAUAAACUAACUAUUCAGGAUCAUCCAAGUAUUGAGAUGUUAAUCCAGAGGACAUGACGUGGAACUUGAAGGAGAACAUGAUUUGCAUGCUCUUAAUAUGAACCUUACGGAACUUGUUGUUUCUUCUAAUGUUGAUGAUGCGAGUGAGGAGAGUCGGCAAAGCUGAUAUAUUUUACCUGCACUUUGCAACCCAGGGUGGAAAAAGUCUAGAAGAUGUUAUCCUAGCAAUGAUCCUCUUUGAUAAGUGAGGCGGUUCAUUACAGUUAGUUUUUUAUUCAAGAUG